AGCUGGAAAUGUAUAUGAUGGGACAUUCAAAUCAGCAGAGCUUACCAUCAUGACUGGUGUUUUUUCCAUGGAGUGACUAAUAUGACCACCUCAACACACAUGUUCACAAUGUGUGUUUGUAACUGUGUUAGCCAUUCCAAUGUUCCCCUCCAGGACUCCAGCUUAGGGACAUGAUAGAUCUCAGAAUGAACAAAUCAAAAUCCCAC
rnacentral:lncRNA from 1 species